rnacentral:rRNA from 1 species
ACAGGCUAACACAUGCAAGUCAGGGGCAGCACAAGGAGCAAUCUGAGGUGGCGACCGGCGCACGGGUGAGUAACACGUAUGCAACCUGCCUGUAAGCGGGGAAUAACCCGUUGAAAGACGGACUAAUACCGCAUAAUACUAAAUUACUGCAUGGUAAUUUAUUUAAACAUUUAUGGCUUACAGAUGGGCAUGCGCAUGAUUAGCUAGUUGGAGAGGUAACGGCUCCCCAAGGCAACGAUCAUUAGGGGUUCUGAGAGGAAGGUCCCCCACACUGGUACUGAGACACGGACCAGACUCCUACGGGAGGCAGCAGUGAGGAAUAUUGGUCAAUGGACGAGAGUCUGAACCAGCCAAGUCGCGUGCAGGAAGAAUGUCCCUAUGGAUUGUAAACUGCUUUUGCAGGGGAAUAAAGUGCAUCACGUGUGAUGUUUUGUAUGUACUCUGCGAAUAAGGAUCGGCUAACUCCGUGCCAGCAGCCGC